rnacentral:ncRNA from 1 species
AUAAAGGGAAUGAUGUUCUCCCCGGGGAAACCCGAACCGCUUUCAACGCUGAUGACUUCUGCUUUU